GACGAACGCUGGCGGCGUGCUUAACACAUGCAAGUCGAGCGGUAAGGCCCUUUCGGGGUACGACGAGCGGCGAACGGGUGAGUAACACGUGGGUGACCUGCCCUCCAGCUCUGGGAUAAAGCCUGGGAAACCGGGUCUAAUACCGGAUAUGACUCCAUGACGCAUGUUGUGGGUGGAAAGCCUUGUGCGGCUGAGGAUGGGCCCGCGGCCUAUCAGCUUGUGUGGGUGAU
rnacentral:rRNA from 1 species